UGGGGAAUAUUGCACAAUGGGCGCAAGCCUGAUGCAGCCAUGCCGCGUGUGUGAAGAAGGCCUUCGGGUUGUAAAGCACUUUCAGCGGGGAGGAAGGCGAUAAGGUUAAUAACCUUGUCGAUUGACGUUACCCGCAGAAGAAGCACCGGCUAACUCCGUGCCAGCAGCCGCGGUAAUACGGAGGGUGCAAGCGUUAAUCGGAAUUACUGGGCGUAAAGCGCACGCAGGCGGUCUGUCAAGUCGGAUGGGAAAUCCCCGGGCUCAACCUGGGAACUGCAUUCGAAACUGGAAGGCUAGAGUCUUGUAGAGGGGGGUAGAAUUCCAGGUGUAGCGGUGAAAUGCGUAGAGAUCUGGAGGAAUACCGGUGGCGAAGGCGGCCCCCUGGACAAAGACUGACGCUCAGGUGCGAAAGCGUGGGGAGCAAACAGG
rnacentral:rRNA from 1 species